rnacentral:lncRNA from 1 species
UCGUCUGGUUCUGGUGUUUUGGUGGAAACGGUCACGGAUCCCAGCAGAACCGUCUUUAUACAGGCGGUCCCUCGAUCAGAAGGAGCUCCUCUGUUUCUCCUCUCCCGCAUCUCCGCUCCUUCCUCUCCUGCGUCUGCGCAUUAUUCCUCUCCUGCGUCUGCGCAUUACUCCUCUCCUGCGUCUGCGCAUUACUCCUCUUCCGCGUCUGCGCUCCCUCCUCUCCCGCGUCUGCGCUCCCUCCUCUCCUGCGUCUGCGCUCCCUCCUCUCCUGCGUCUGCGCUCCCUCCUCUCCCGCGUCUGCGCUCCCUCCUCUCCUGCGUCUGCGCUCCCUCCUCUCCUGCGUCUGCGCUCCCUCCUCUCUCGCGUCUGCGCAUUACUCCUCUCCUGCGUCUGCGCUUACCUCCUCUCUCGCGUCUGCGCAUUACUCCUCUCCUGCGUCUGCGCAUUACUCCUCUCCUGCGUCUGCGCAUUACUCCUCUCCUGCGUCUGCGCAUUACUCCUCUCCUGCGUCUGCGCAUUACUCCUCUCCUGCGUCUGCGCAUUACUCCUCUCCUGCGUCUGCGCAUUACCCUCUCCUGCGUCUGCGCUUACCCUCUCCUGCGUCUGCGCUCCUUCCUCUCCUGCGUCUGCGCUCCCUCCUCUCCUGCGUCUGCGCUCCCUCCUCUCCCGCGUCUGCGCAUUACUCCUCUCUCGCGUCUGCGCAUUACUCCUCUCCUGCAUCUGCGCUCCUUCCUCUCCUGCGUCUGCGCUCCCUCCUCUCCUGCGUCUGCGCAUUACUCCUCUCCUGCGUCUGCGCUCCCUCCUCUCCUGCAUCUGCGCUCCUUCCUCUCCUGCGUCUGCGCAUUACUCCUCUCCUGCGUCUGCGCUCCUUCCUCUCCUGCGUCUGCGCAUUACUCCUCUCCUGCGUCUGCGCUCCCUCCUCUCCUGCAUCUGCGCUCCUUCCUCUCCUGCGUCUGCGCUCCCUCCUCUCCCGCGUCUGCGCAUUACUCCUCUCCCUGCGUCUGCGCUCCCUCCUCUCCUGCAUCUGCGCUCCUUCCUCUCCUGCGUCUGCGCUCCUUCCUCUCCCACGUCUGCGCUCCCUCCUCUCCCGCGUCUGCGCUCCUCCUCUCCCGCGUCUGCGCUCCCUCCACUCCCGCGUCUGCGCUUCCUCCACUCCUGCGUCUGCGCAGACUCCAGUCUCAAAUCUCAUCGCUCUACACGUGCAGUAACACGCUGAAACCAGCAGGGGUCGCCUCGUUUCAAACAGACUCAAAACCCUGA